GACCGUGUUGUGUAAUGGUAGUACAACCCGACUUGAUACAAAUUUGGAUUCUUUCGAUUGGGGUGGUCCUAGUUCGAAUCUGGGCACGGUUG